GACAGAGGGUGCGAACGUUGUUCGGAAUUACUGGGCGUAAAGCGCAUGUAGGCGGCAGCGCAAGUCGGGCGUGAAAUCCCACGGCUCAACCGUGGAAGUGCACUCGAAACUGCGCAGCUAGAGUCCUGGAGAGGAAGGUGGAAUGCUUGGUGUAGAGGUGAAAUUCGUAGAUAUCAAGCGGAACACCAGCGGCGAAGGCGGCGCCUGGACUGGUACUGACGCUCAGGAGCGAAAGCGUGGGGAGC
rnacentral:rRNA from 1 species